rnacentral:rRNA from 1 species
AAAGCCGGUACAAGCGUAUAGCAGUCAUGCAGGCAAAACCGCAUGAAAAAUGUAAAGCGUUAUGUGGAUCGAACAUUAGUAGAGAAGCGUGUGAGCCAGCUGCCAAGAAAAGCCGCUAUUGUUUCAUAAGUACCCGUACCGUAAACCGACACAGGUGGAUGAGGAGAGAAUCCUAAGGCCGGCGGGAGAAGUGUUGUUAAGGAACUCGGCAAAAUGACUCCGUAACUUCGGGAGAAGGAGUGCCACAGAGAUGUGGCCGCAGAGAAAUGGCCCAAGCAACUGUUUAGCAAAAACACAGGUCUAUGCAAAACCGAAAGGUGAGGUAUAUGGGCUGACGCCUGCCCGGUGCUGGAAGGUUAAGAGGAGAGGUUAGAGCAAUCGAAGCUUUGAAUUUAAGCCCCAGUAAACGGCGGCCGUAACUAUAACGGUCCUAAGGUAGCGAAAUUCCUUGUCGGGUAAGUUCCGACCCGCACGAAAGGCGUAAUGAUUUGGGCACUGUCUCAACAACACACCCGGUGAAAUUGAAAUACCAGUGAAGAUGCUGGUUACCUGCGCCAGGACGGAAAGACUCCAUGGAGCUUUACUCCAGUUUGAUACUGGGAUUCGGUACUGUCUGUACAGGAUAGGUGGGAGGCUAGGAAAUGGUGACGCCAGUUGCCAUGGAGCCAACCUUGGGAUACCACCCUUACAGUACUGGGUUUCUAACCUGCAGCCGUAACCCGGCUGGGGGACAAUGUCUGACGGGGAGUUUGACUGGGGCGGUCGCCUCCGAAAGAGUAUCGGAGGCGCUCAAAGGUUCCCUCAGAACGGUUGGAAACCGUUCGAAGAGUGCAAAGGCAGAAGGGAGCUUGACUGCGACACCGACGGGUGGAGCAGAUACGAAAGUAGGACUUAGUGAUCCGGUGGUAUAAAGUGGGAUUGCCAUCGCUCAACGGAUAAAAGCUACCCUGGAAUAACAGGCUUAUCACUCCCAAGAGUUCACAUCGACGGAGUGGUUUGGCACCUCGAUGUCGGCUCAUCGCAUCCUGGAGCUGUAGCAGGUUCCAAGGGUUGGGCUGUUCGCCCAUUAAAGCGGUACGCGAGCUGGGUUCAGAACGUCGUGAGACAGUUCGGUCCCUAUCCGGCGUGGGCGUAGGAUAUUUGAGAGGAGCUGUCCUUAGUACGAGAGGACCGGGAUGGACAAACCUCUGGUGUAUCUGUUGUUUUACCAAAGGCAUGGCAGAGUAGCCAAGUUUGGCAGGGAUAAACGCUGAAGGCAUCUAAGCGUGAAGCCCCCCUCAAGAUAAGAUAUCCCAUCUUCGGAGUAAGACCCCUUGAAGACUACAAGGUUGAUAGGCUUCAGGUGUAAGUGUGGUAACGCACUCAGCUGAGAAGUACUAAUAGGUCGAGGACUUAUC